CCAUUGUAAACAGCGGGUAACUUCCUGUUUCAAAAAUUAUUAUUUUUAUUUAAAUUUGGCGUUUUAUAAAGGAAAAGGUAAAUUGUUAUCUCUACUGUUAAACAUAUUGAGUUCAUAUAUUGUUGUUUUGAGUGUCAGUUUGGGGUUUAAGAAGAACAAUUAACGGGGCAUACCACUAUAGUUCAUGAAAGGUUUUCCCACGAUCUCCGUCGCGCUCUUUCUGUUCGAAUCCCGUGUGGGAGAAGGCGCUGUGAAGCACCGUGCAGAGAAAGAGCCUGUUUUUGACUUUUCUUUUUCUGCUGUUUAAUGCAGGGAUAUUAAAGGUGCCUUCAAGAUCA